AAGACCUUACUUCAUAGGAUCAUUUCUAUAGUAAGCUCUUAACAAGACGCACACAUCAUGUGAGCCCAGUACAGGUCACGAUGACGAGACGUGGCGCGGCGACCUGAGCGUGAGGCGGACGAUGGUGGAAGCCGUCAGUCCUCGAUGAUCGUUCACUCCUCUCUUCGGAGAGGGGCGUGGGUCGCUGUCGCUUUCUGAGUGGC